rnacentral:rRNA from 1 species
UGCGUAGGUGGUUUCUUAAGUCUGCUGUGAAAGCCCCGGGCUCAACCUGGGAAUUGCAGUGGAUACUGGGGAGCUAGAGUGCGGUAGAGGGUAGUGGAAUUCCCGGUGUAGCGGUGAAAUGCGUAGAGAUCGGGAGGAACACCAGUGGCGAAGGCGGCUACCUGGACCAGCACUGACACUGAGGCACGAAGCGUGGGAGCAAACA